rnacentral:rRNA from 1 species
CCUACGGGUGGCUGCAGUGGGGAAUAUUGGACAAUGGGCGAAAGCCUGAUCCAGCCAUGCCGCGUGUGUGAAGAAGGCCUUCGGGUUGUAAAGCACUUUCAGUGGGGAAGAAAGCCUUGGGGCUAAUACCCUCGAGGAAGGACAUCACCCACAGAAGAAGCACCGGCUAACUCCGUGCCAGCAGCCGCGGUAAUACGGAGGGUGCGAGCGUUAAUCGGAAUUACUGGGCGUAAAGCGCGCGUAGGCGGUCUGAUAAGCCGGUUGUGAAAGCCUCGGGCUCAACCUGGGAACGGCAUCCGGAACUGUCAGGCUAGAGUGCAGGAGAGGAAGGUAGAAUUCCCGGUGUAGCGGUGAAAUGCGUAGAGAUCGGGAGGAAUACCAGUGGCGAAGGCGGCCUUCUGGACUGACACUGACGCUGAGGUGCGAAAGCGUGGGUAGCAAACAGGAUUAGAUACCCUGGUAGUC